rnacentral:rRNA from 1 species
AAUUUUUAAUAAUAAAUUUCUUAAUUCUCACAUUAAUAAAAAACACAACGAAAUGUGAUAAUUAAUAUAAAUUACAAAAUUCAGUAAAUCAUUGAGUUUUUGAACAUAUAUUACACCUAUUAGUAUUCCUUUGGGUAUGUCUAUUUAAAUAUUA